GAUGAACGCUGGCGGCGUGCCUAAUACAUGCAAGUCGAGCGAACGGACGAGAAGCUUGCUUCUCUGAUGUUAGCGGCGGACGGGUGAGUAACACGUGGAUAACCUACCUAUAAGACUGGGAUAACUUCGGGAAACCGGAGCUAAUACCGGAUGAUAUUUUGAACCGCAUGGUUCAAAAGUGAAAGACGGUCUUGCUGUCACUUAUAGAUGGAUCCGCGCUGCAUUAGCUAGUUGGUAAGGUAUUGGCUUACCAAGGCAACGAUGCAUAGCCGACCUGAGAGGGUGAUCGGCCACACUGGAACUGAGACACGGUCCAGACUCCUACGGGAGGCAGCAGUAGGGAAUCUUCCGCAAUGGGCGAAAGCCUGACGGAGCAACGCCGCGUGAGUGAUGAAGGUCUUCGGAUCGUAAAACUCUGUUAUUAGGGAAGAACAUAUGUGUAAGUAACUGUGCACAUCUUGACGGUACCUAAUCAGAAAGCCACGGCUAACUACGUG
rnacentral:rRNA from 1 species